rnacentral:misc_RNA from 1 species
GAAAUGCGAUAAGUAAUGUGAAUUGCAGAAUUCAGUGAAUCAUCGAAUCUUUGAACGCACAUUGCGCCCGCCAGUAUUCUGGCGGGCAUGCCUGUCCGAGCGUCAUUUCAACCAUCAAGCCCCCGGGCUUGUGUUUGGGACCUGCGGCUGCCCGCAGGCCCUGAAAACCAGUGGCGGGCUCGCUGUCACACCGAGCGUAGUAGCAAUCACCUCGCUCAGGGCGUGCUGCGGGUUCCGGCCGUUAAACAGCCUUACAAAACCCAAGGUUGACCUCGGAUCAGGUAGGAAGACCCGCUGAACUUAAGC